UAAUUUUACUGUUUUAACCCUAAUGCUUAAUUGUGUCAUGUUUAACCUAUUAAUCCUAUUUUUUUGUUGAAACAAAUCGGACCUAAUCUCCUAUUUCCCAAUUAACCUAACAAAACACCCUACUUUUCAUGCAAAGCCAUCUGAACCAAACAAACUUAUUUUCUUUCCUUUUGUUCUCUCUCUCCCCUCACACGGCCAUUUUUUAUUUAAUCAGAGAAAGUCACCCCAUUUUCAGACCCUCCUCUCUCUAUCUACGAUUCUUCUGCAUCUCUCCCCCUUUUCUCUCACACACUUUCUCCCAAAACCAUGGCUGCUUCUUCUCUCUUUCUCCACCAAGCCUCCCUUAUGGGUCACGAUCUCCGAUCUCUUUCUUCCAUCUACCAAACUCUGAUAGCUCUCUCUCCAUUAUGAACACAGAUAGCCGCCGAAAAAUUUAUUUGUCGCACUGAUCCACGCACAUCUCGCCGACUCCGCAAAUGCCGCCGCAACAACAAAUGACCUUCGUAAUUGUCACCGGUUCUAAUGAAGGUCCACACAGUUAUAGUUACUUGAAUCAAGAGAAAAAGAGCACAGGUUUGAUUUGUGAUGUCUUGAAUUCCUCAAUGCAAAUGUGAUAACACUUAACUAUUGAAGAUUUUUAAUUUUAAGACUCCCUGUUUCAUUUCAGAUAUGAUUCAGUAUUUAUACAAAUUGGAUGCAGAGGUACUUGGUGUUGAUCCAAGAGAAGUUGAUGUUCCUGUGGUAGGAGGUCAUGCAGGAGUCACAAUAUUGCCUCUUUUAUCACAGGUUAAGUCUCCCAGUAGCUUCACUGCAGAAGAAACCGAAUACCUGACAAAUCGCAUUCAAAAUGGUGGACAACACUUAUAAUUUGAAAUUUGGUGAGGAUUACAUUGGUAUGUGUUCACCCAAGAAUUUUUGUGAUUAUUGUUUAUGGACAUGAUGUUGAACCUAGAUUUUCUGGUAUUACUGCAUCAAUUGCUUACCACUAUGACCCCACAAAUUUUAAUUAUUCCGUCGUCAAAUGGUUGGAUUCAUCUACUGUUAGCUCUUGAUUUUUGGUAAGUAAUGAAAUUUAAGUUAUAAUAUAAUUGAUUUUUUUUUCCUGUACAGUGUGUUUCUUAUAAGUUAGUUUUAGUUUAUACUUAUCCAUGCUAUUAUACCAGAACUUUUUUUUCUUUUUAAAUUAGACUUUCACUUAUGAUGGAUUGACUGUAUCAUCCACAAGGGUUGCAAAGAUUUAGAUUUGAUUGAUGAUCCGGUCAUUUUUUGAGUAUGCUUUUGGAGUUUGAUCCUGAGAACAAGACUACCAAAUUUGGAGGAUAUUGGAAAUGCUUAUAUGUAAGAAAGCUAUAGUGCACGGGAAAGUGGUAAAGAUUGGAUCAAUUGCUUUGGGGCUACAUUGGACUUCUUUACAUUACAUUACUAGAGUGAUUGCUUUCAUAGCAAUCAAAUUAAUAUUUAGUACCGUUGUUAUUUUCAUCAGUUUUAUGAACUAUCAUGCAAGCAUUGCAUUCUUUUUGUUUGUUUUUGCGUUUGACAAUGUUAACUUAUCUUUAAACAGAUGACU